rnacentral:rRNA from 1 species
UACGAAGGGGGCUAGCGUUGCUCGGAAUCACUGGGCGUAAAGCGCACGUAGGCGGGUCUUUAAGUCAGGGGUGAAAUCCUGGAGCUCAACUCCAGAACUGCCUUUGAUACUGAGGAUCUCGAGUCCGGGAGAGGUGAGUGGAACUCCGAGUGUAGAGGUGAAAUUCGUAGAUAUCGGGAGGAACACCGGUGGCGAAGGCGGCGAUCUGGGUAGAUACUGACGCUGAGGUGCGAAAGCGUGGGGAGCAAACAGG